rnacentral:lncRNA from 1 species
CUGCGGUGGACACCCAGUCCCUGUCCUGUCUAUGCCUGGAAAGGAGCUGUUGCUGACCUUGUAGAUUUGGCCACCCAGACAUGGGAGCACAUUUUCUAUCCGGGAGGUGAGUACUCCUGUGUUCUGGGGAGCCGGUGCUGACUUUGCUGCUUGGCCACAUUCCCAUUAGUGUUGAUGGUAAUUGCACCCUCAGAACAAAGCCGGCCCCGUGAAGCCCCUGCUGAGGAAUUACCUUAAUGACUUUGAACUUUAAGAAGUAAAAAAAAUGAGACCAAGACCUGUCAUGUAAAGUAAAAGAUCCCAAU